ensembl:lncRNA
GUGCUUUGACUUUUAAAAGUAUUGCAUCAGGGCUUCCCUGAUAUAUUUUAAACAGAGAUUCCACAGGAUUUGCUAACAGAUGGGGUGUGAGGUACAAGAGAAAGUAAAUGGUCAAGGAUGACUCAAGUUUUUGGCCUAAGCAAUUGGAAGGAUGGAGUCUCUAAUUUCCCAAGACGGAUAAAUCUGGGAAAUGAACACAUUUGAUGGAGACAAGAUCAGGAGUAUUAUUUGAAAUAUGUUGAGGUGGAGGUAUAUUGACUAGGAGUUGGAUAGAGGAGUCUGGAGUUCAGGAAAGGAAUCAUCAGCUGACCAAUAGGUGUGGGGAGUCCUAAGACUCAAUGAGAACAUGAAAGGUCUGGGAGAGAAGGAGAAACUAGGUAAGGAGAAGAAAAGCUGAGGAGACCAGAAGAGGUUAGUAAGGAAAACCACAGGCAUGUGAGGUCCUGGAGGCCAAGUGACAAAGGAUUCCAGGGAGGGGACAGGAGUCAGCCACACCAAAUCAAGUAAGAUAACUGCUGCUCAGUGAUCAUUCAGUCCUGGAACCCAAUUCGCCUGAUUCCCAAUUUUGCUGUGCUGCCAGUCUCCUUGAUGUAUCAGUAGGCACUGAAAAAGUUAGAUCUGAAAUAUUAAGCAGUCUUUCAACACUGGUUUAUUACGGAAGCCCUAAAUUAAACCAACUUUGUCCCCACAUAGAAGUGUGCCCGAUGCAGAUACUUGCUUUCUGGUGGUUUGAUUCAGCCAGGGCUUAAGGUUCCAACGAAACAUAAAGAAGAGCGGCCUAAAAACCAUUUACACUCACAAGAUAAAUAACUUACACCCGACUCCUUAGUGAGAUCAGGCCCAGCAUGCAUAUCCUAUUUCCCUUGUUGUUCUAUAUCUUGCAUCAGAGUAUUUACGUAGACACAUGAACAGUUUACUUGAGCUUAAGUUAACAUUUCUGUCAAGUUCAUGUUUACAAAUAUUACCUUCAGAUGCAUUUUUAAGCCUUUAAGAGGGAAGACGGUGGAACUGAUGUAAGAACAACGGAAGAGUUACCACAGCUUCCUGUGUGUGUCCUCUGAGUGGCAGUGAAGGGAAUGAGUGUGGGUGAUGCUCCCCCGUAUACCUGGGGUGGAGGGCUGCUUCGCCACUUGCAAGGUGGGUCAUAGACAGCAAAACCUCUACUGGAGACAGUACUAAUGUGAGCCAGGAGCCUUCUUUUACCUUUCCUGAAUGUUAACAAUAUGGAAAGCAGACAUGGAAAAUGUUAUUCUGAACACUGAGGAAUACACACUGGCCUCGCCUUCCACAUUUUGAGUUUGUCAGGUUUGGAACUAGGGUGUCUGAUAAGCUGCAUCUGAAAGGUUAACCUGGUCCCAGGUAGUCCCUAGACUUAGACAUUCAUCAGGGUAGGUAGGUUCUGAACACCCAAGUGUUGUGGAUUGGCUGAAAGUGAGCUCUAGGGAUCUUCCUUGUGGCUGACCUAAGAUUUUCUCUAGAACUGUUCUUCCAAUAAUUCCACCAGCUAGGCAGAUUUAGCACUAGGGGAAGGCAUAGAAAUCAAAUACAAUACACACAUAAAGAAUACGUAGGUUUGCAAGAAUUAAAGCCUGUCAAUCAAGAAUAGAUCUCUAUAGUUUUGGUAUACCUUCAAAAAAAAGUUUACAGUUUGGCUGAGUUAAGCCAAAGAGUUAAAGAUAUCAGAAUAAUAUGCUUGCUUUGUCUGUAUUUCUAAGAAACACUAAAAAUUAAAAUAAUAAAAUCCCUAUUAUAAAUUUUAGAAUACCACAUAUACACUGAAAAGUAUAUCUUUAAGAAUGUCAGAAAACUCAACUCUUUUAUGUAGUUAUGAUAGAAUUAAGAUCCUCUCACAAAGAAAAUUAGGUACAGCUUUUAUUGUGUUUAUAUAAUUUUACAUUAUUAAAAUGUUUUCAAGGAGUCCACUGGCCUGAAAAAACUAUAUCCUGACAUGUUGAUUCAGAAUUAAAGGUUAUUUUUAUACUUUCCUUUAUUGACUACAAUUAUGAUUUUUGAGACUGUACAUAUUUCCCCUGAGACAUGUGUUUUUCUUUGGUACACACAUUAAAUACCAUAUAAGAGAAAGUCUUAGUGGCUGUGAAAUCACACAGUAUAAAAAAAAGUAGGACACAGCAGGAUAAAACGUGACCUCAGGACAUUAAACAUUUUCGGCUCUGAAACUAAGGGACCCCACAGUAGUGGUAGUACUGACUUCCCCAUGCAUCCCCAAAGCCCUAUGUUCGGCCUUUAAUACUGUUUGUCACUAAAGGAAUAAAGUGCCUUAGGGGUAGUGGAUUCUAUGACUUGAGUUGGGAAAAAAAAUAAAAUGAGUCUGGAACAUGCUGUUGUUUUCAGAUAGCUUGGGUGCUUUUGGGAAAGUCAGAGUCUUAAAAGGACAUUGGUGUGAACAUAAAGGGACUUCCCAUUGACUGAGUUGUAAGAAUUUGCACAUCAAAAACAAGUACAGAGGUGGUCAUAACACGAAACUAAGCUGUGACAGAAGUUUAUUUUUUUAAUAAGUAGGGGAGCAGUCAUAUUGAGUAGUUUAUUUCUUCUAAUAAUUAUGUCUGCUUAUAAUAUUUACAUAUAUAGUUAUUGCUCUCUGGGUAAGCACUGAAGAAUAAACACAUGGAACUUGUAACUUGACCAAAUGAUCCUGGCAGAAGAAGGUACUAAAAAAAGUAGGGUGGAUUUAUUAGCACAAAUAAUAGGACAUAUGGUGAGAUAAUACCAGGUGGAAGAUGGCACAGACGGUCAUAUACAGUAACUAAGGAAGACGGACAAUUCAACACUGUAUUUUAAAAUGUGAAUUACUCAGUGUCCUGAAGAGACAAGUUAACUACAUGAAACUAAGUGCUCUACAAUCAAGAUUGAAAUGAAAGCUCUAGAAUACAACCAUAUUAAGUGAUAAAAAACAGAACAGAUCAAAAUACCCUAAUGGCAAAUCAAUAGGUUAGGAAUUAUCAGCCAUGCCCAGCUUCAUACCUCACUACUGCGAAAGAAACCAAGUUUCAAAGACAAUAAUUUAUAAGAAAGGAACUUAAAAGUUUACCAUAAAAAAAGUCAGCUCGACACUGUGGCUCAAGUUUGAAAUACCCUAGUCUUCACAAUCAGACCAUAUCCAGGCCAAGAAUCACCAGUCAACAACCCAGAUGCUUUGCUUUUCCUUUAGUUCUCGUAGGAAUGCUAAAACUCAGGGAAGUACUAAUACUUAAAAAUUAGGACUAUAUCACAUUAAGAGUCAUACUACACUGGGAAGUUAGUAAAGUACAGAAAUAAUGAAGAAACUACCUAAACCAUAGCCUUGAUGUUUUAGGACAGGUUUAUGGGAAUGUGCAGUAAUAACUUAUAAUCACUGCUUAUGUAUGUUGUUCAUCAGCCGCUUAAGGUGUUUGAGGAUUUCAAGACUCAUCCGUACUAAAUUUGUACUCAUAGUUUAAAAUUUUUCAGAAAAUUUAAUUAGUCAAUUUUGGAAUUAAUGUUUAAACGCUCAAGAAAAAUUGAGAUUCCUAAUUUUUUUUCUGUAUGAAUUUAAUGAAGUGAUUAGACAAAGUACAUAUAGUUUCCAGUAUUCUUCAUGUCUAAAGUCCCUCAGACAAUGAAAGAUUCUAUUAUCAUUUUCCAAAUUCGAACUUCAGAAGAGAACAUCUGUAAUUAUGAAAUCCUAACAACCCUUGCUAGAAUCUAAAAGAAAAAGUUACUCUAAAAGCAUUUAAGAAAGACAAAGCUUGAGUGGUCUUUUCCUACCAAACACAGUUAUUGCU